rnacentral:rRNA from 1 species
UACGUAGGGUGCAAGCGUUGUCCGGAAUUAUUGGGCGUAAAGAGCUCGUAGGCGGUUUGUCGCGUCGAAUGUGAAAACCCGGGGCUCAACCCCGGGCCUGCAUUCGAUACGGGCAGACUAGAGUUCGGUAGGGGAGUCUGGAAUUCCUGGUGUAGCGGUGAAAUGCGCAGAUAUCAGGAGGAACACCGGUGGCGAAGGCGGGUCUCUGGGCAACAACUGACGCUGAGGAGCGAAAGCGUGGGGAGCGGACAGG